UUCAUGCGGAUGAUAUGAAUACAUGAUAUUCAAUAGGUAUUCAAUGGUUCAAUCGAGAACCUCCAAGUGUGCUCUACGUGUCCAGUGGAGGUACAGCGAGAAUUGUGUGGGAUUACAACGUCGGAACUAGAACUGCAAUGUUUGAUCCAUAUUCACCAGAGUGGGCUCUGUAUAAUACAAGUGGAUUUAGAAUAGUUAUAGGCGUCGAGGAUGGUUACAAUGGAUGGAAGUUCGUUAUAAGCAAACAAUGUCCCCAAAACUGCGUAGUCGAGUCAGUAAAGAGUCCACUGCUACUCUUGUCAUCUCUAAUGUCACCAAAGCUGAUGAACGGCUAUAUGAAUGUAAUCUGCUGUUAUUAGCGGGAUCACCAAUAAGAAGUAAAGUACAACUGGUUGUUACGGAACGUCCUCGCUUUACUACUCCUGUUAAUAUAUUGACGCUUAUCAAUGAGGGAUGAAGUCUGUGCAUCCGAUGUUCAGCAGCAGCAGAUCCUAUGCCCAACGUAACGUGUGUACGAACUAUAAAGAAUCCAAAAAUUAUCAGUGAUGGAGUUGGUGAAGCAUUUCUCAGAUUCACCAACAUCACGAGACACCAACUUGGAACAUACGAGUGUCAGGCUACGAAUAAUCCAAACGAGGAUCCCGUUACAACGACGACCGAAAUCUCAGUAAAAUACCCUGUAGAACCAGCGAAUGUUUUCGUUUCUGACAUCAAAGCAACUUCUGCAGUGAUCAAUUGGGACAGUCCCGUUGAUGAUGGAGGGAGCCCUGUCAUAGAGUAUAAAGUCCAAAUCAACACAAUUCCACCGAGAGAGGUUAUCACCAAAACGACGUAUUGCUUAACCAAGGAUCUUAAGGAGAAUACAACAUAUAGUGUGAAGGUGUAUGCACGAAAUGCAGUUGGGUAUGGGAAGGCAGU